AACGAACGCUGGCGGCAUGCCUAACACAUGCAAGUCGAACGAGACCUUCGGGUCUAGUGGCGCACGGGUGCGUAACGCGUGGGAACCUGCCCUUAGGUUCGGAAUCACUCCCCGAAAGGGGUGCUAAUACCGGAUAAUGUCUUCGGACCAAAGAUUUAUCGCCUUUGGAUGGGCCCGCGUUGGAUUAGCUAGUUGGUAGGGUAAAAGCCUACCAAGGCGACGAUCCAUAGCUGGUCUGAGAGGAUGAUCAGCCACACUGGGACUGAGACACGGCCCAGACUCCUACGGGUGGCAGCAGGGGGGAAUAUUGGACAAUGGGCGAAAGCCUGAUCCAGCAAUGCCGCGUGAGUGAUGAAGGCCUUAGGGUUGUAAAGCUCUUUUACCCGGGAUGAUAAUGACAGUACCGGGAGAAUAAGCUCCGGCUAACUCCGU
rnacentral:rRNA from 1 species